rnacentral:rRNA from 1 species
UGCCAGCCGCCGCGGUAAUACGGGGGGUGCAAGCGUUAUUCGGAAUCAUUGGGCGUAAAGAGCGCGUAGGCGGCCCUAUAAGUCAGAUGUGAAAGCCCGGGGCUUAACCCCGGAAGUGCAUUUGAAACUAUUGGGCUUGAGUAUGGGAGAGGGAAGUGGAAUUUCUGGUGUAGGAGUGAAAUCCGUAGAGAUCAGAAGGAACACCGGUGGCGAAGGCGACUUCCUGGACUAUUACUGACACUGAGGAGCGAAAGCGUGGGGAGCAAACAGGAUUAGAUA